rnacentral:lncRNA from 1 species
UUUCUUAUAGUGAAGAACAUUUCAAGACUUUAGCCUGUUACCUUGCUCAUCUUUUUAGUCUUGCAACAUUAAAUAUACACCAUAAUAGAUGACUUUCCAACUCAUUGUGUAAUUAAUUAUUUCCACCACCCACUAAUCAAUGGUCCAUAAAGUUAAUUAAACACCAUAUUUUAGCACAAAAUGCAAUACAUAAUUCCUUACAUUAAAGUUAAUCAUGUUUUGUUUUUUGAGUAAUGUUACUUAGCACCAACCACUCUGUUAAAAACCAAUUUAUAUUAAUAUAACUUUAAACGAGAGGUAUAUUUAAGACAAAUAUUAUUUUUCUUUCUUUUUAUGAUCAUAUUCUUUUUUUAAUUGAGAGGUAUAUUAAUGUAGCAUAGUGCUAGAUAGCAAUAUUCUUUCUUUUUAAGAUCAUAUUUUCCAUCAACACUUGCUUUCCCUUUGACCAAAUAAAAAGGAUAACUACAGUUUAUUAUUUAAAAUAAUGAGUGCUGAAUGUUUAAUUUGUUCGAGUUCUAAUACAUGGUGGGUAAAAAUAUUAUUUUUAUUUAUAGAUUUCUCGUAAAUUUCAUAAUUAUUUUCUAUAUG